GAUGAACGCUGGCGGCGUGCCUAAUACAUGCAAGUCGAGCGAACAGACGAGGAGCUUGCUCCUCUGACGUUAGCGGCGGACGGGUGAGUAACACGUGGAUAACCUACCUAUAAGACUGGGAUAACUUCGGGAAACCGGAGCUAAUACUGGAUAAUAUAUUGAACCGCAUGGUUCAAUAGUGAAAGACGGUUUUGCUGUCACUUAUAGAUGGAUCCGCGCCGCGUUAGCUAGUUGGUAAGGUAACGGCUUACCAAGGCAACGAUGCGUAGCCGACCUGAGAGGGUGAUCGGCCACACUGGAACUGAGACACGGUCCAGACUCCUACGGGAGGCAGCAGUAGGGAAUCUUCCGCAAUGGGCGAAAGCCUGACGGAGCAACGCCGCGUGAGUGAUGAAGGUCUUCGGAUCGUAAAACUCUGUUAUUAGGGAAGAACAAAUGUGUAAGUAACUAUGCACGUCUUGACGGUACCUAAUCAGAAAGCCACGGCUAACUACGUG
rnacentral:rRNA from 1 species